AAGAUUAAUGGUGCUGUGCAAUGUUGAUUAUGGCUCUAACUAAAUGCCCCCACCAUGCCUGUUUUUAAAUGACAAUGCAGGUGACACAGCUGGACGUGGAUGUACUAGUUGGCACAUCUGUAAAUCCAUGGCAUUGUUACAAUUAGAAAGAAAUUGAAUCAGAGCCUGUCCUCCCUGCAGUGGAGGAUUUUAACACACAGCAUGU